rnacentral:rRNA from 1 species
GAUGAACGCUAGCUACAGGCUUAACACAUGCAAGUCGAGGGGUAACGGGCAGCAGUGCUUGCACUGUUGUGCUGACGACCGGCGCACGGGUGAGUAACGCGUAUCCAACCUUCCCAUGAGUAGUGCAUAGCCCGGCGAAAGUCGGAUUAAUGCUCUAUGUUGUAUUUCGAUAACAUCUGAAGAAUACCAAAGGUUCACCGCUAUGGGAUGGGGAUGCGUCUGAUUAGGUUGUUGGCGGGGUAACGGCCCACCAAGCCUGCGAUCAGUAGGGGUUCUGAGAGGAAGGUCCCCCACAUUGGAACUGAGACACGGUCCAAACUCC